rnacentral:pre_miRNA from 2 species
GAUUUCAACUGAAAAAGUCAUCAACAUAAAAGUUGUAUAACUCAUCAAUAUCUAUAACUUUUAUUUUGGUCAUUUCUUCAUCCGAUAAAGUAAUAGUAACAUUGUUCAAAAAAUUUACAUAUCUUUCUUAUAGUUUAUAAACUAUCUAAGAGAUAUGUAUAUUUUAUGAACACUGUUACAAAUCACUUUGUCGGAUGAACAAAUUACCAAAAUAAAAGUUAUAGAUAUUGAUGAGUUAUACAACUUUGUUGUUGAUGAAUUUUUCAGUUGAAAUU